rnacentral:rRNA from 1 species
UUCCANGAAGCAGCAGGCGCGUAAAUUACCCAAUGUGGACUCCACGAGGUAGUGACGAGAAAUAUCAAUGCGGGGCACUUCGUGUCUUGCUAUUGGAAUGAGAGCAAUGUAAAACCCUCAUCGAGGAUCAACUGGAGGGCAAGUCUGGUGCCAGCAGCCGCGGUAAUUCCAGCUCCAGAAGCGUAUGCUAAAGUUGUUGCAGUUAAAAAGCUCGUAGUUGAAUUUCUGGCGUGGGAGCCCUGGCCUUUGCGCGAAUGCGCUCUGUUUGCUGUGUGGCUCCUCUGCCAUCCUCGCCAGCUCUUUGGGUUGGCGUCAUUCACUGUAAUUAAAGCAGAGUGUUCCAAGCAGGUCGUAAGAUCUGGAUGUUUAUUAUGGGAUGAUCAGAUAGGACUCGGGUGCUAUUUUGUUGGUUUGCACAUCUGAGUAAUGAUUAAUAGGAACAGUUGGGGGUAUUCGUAUUUAGGAGCUAGAGGUGAAAUUCUUGGAUUUCCGAAAGACGAACUACAGCGAAGGCAUUUACCAAGCAUGUUUUCAUUAAUC